GUCAGCUGAUACGUCAAGCUCACACGUUCUAAUAACUGUACGAAAAACAUUCGACACAGAAUUAUAUACACGAAACGUGUAACAAACGGGGAAAUUAGAAGUACCAAGGAAUUUUAUUUCAUAACCCCAACAAAAGUUAUUCACUACAUCAAUACAAUUCUGUCCGUUUUAACAGUUACAUUUGCCUCAUUACCAAACAAUGAGGGAUUUGCAUAUAAUUUUAUGAAUUUACUGUGGUAAAAAUUUUCAGUACUUUUGGUCUUUACAUGGAACGAAUGGACACAUCUUCAAAUUUGUCUAAUGAAAGCCUGAAAUACCAAUAUACAUCUGUACCAUCUGUGAGAAACCUGACAACACGAAC